AUCGACGAUCCAGAGACUGGGCUUCAGUGUGUGGGGUUGGGGCCUGAGGUCUGGGUUCUGGGAUCUGGAGCCCGGGGUCUGAGGCCUAAGGUCUGGGAUAUAAGGUCUGCAGUCUGGGGUCCAGGCCCCGGGGUUCAGAGUCUGAGAUCAAAGGGAUGGGACCCCUGGGUCUGAAGAUGUAGGAGCGGAGGCUGCUGACCUGGGAUCUGAGGUCGGGGCUCUGAGGUCUGAGGUCUGGGGCCCCAGUUCCGGGGUCUGGGGCCUAGUAUCUGAAGUAUGAGGUCUAGGAUCUAGGAUCUGGGGUCCGAGGUCUGAGGUCUGGGAUCUGGGGCCCAGGAUUCUGGAUCCGAGUCUGAGUGUGAGAUCUGAGGUCUGAGAUACGGGAUCUAGAAUCUGGGACCCAGGGUCUGAAGGAAAGGAUCUAGAAUCUGGGGCCGGGGUCUGAGGAAAAGGAUCUAGAAUCUGGGUUCUGGGGUCUGAGGUAAAGGAUCUAGAAUCUGGGUCCUGGGGUCUGAGGUAAAGGAUCUAGAAUCUGGGUCCUGGGGUCUGAGGUAAAGGAUCUAGAAUCUGGGUCCUGGGGUCUGAGGUAAAGGAUCUAGAAUCUUGGACCCUGGCCUGAGGUAAAGGAUCUAGAAUCUUAGACCUGGGGUCUGAGGUGAAGGAUCUAGAAUCUGGGACCCAGGGUCUGAGGUGAAGAAUCUAGAAUCUUGGACCUAGGGUCUGAGGUGAAGGAUCUAGAAUCUGGGACCUGGGGUCCGAGGUGAAGGAUCUAGAAUCUGGGACCUGGGGUCCGAGGUGAAGGAUCUAGAAUCUGGGACCUGGUGUCUGAGGUAAAGGAUCUGGAAUCUGGGACCUGGAGUCUGAGGUGAAGGAUCUAGAAUCUGGGACCUGGCGUCUGAGGUAAAGGAUCUAGAAUCUGGGACCCAGGUCUGAGGUCAGGGAUCUGGUAUGCGGUCCAGAGCGUGAGGGACGG
rnacentral:lncRNA from 1 species